GGGUCAGGAGGUUGGUCGUGCCACCGGUACGUACUGGUCGCACUGAUUCCUCCUUCCUGAAGAACCGUAAUGCCAUUAAUUUGGUGUUGCGGGGAAACAGGACUGUUACUUUGAAAAAAUUAGAGUGUUUAAAGCAAGCUAACGCUUGAAUACAUUAGCAUGGAAUAAUGAAAUAGGACGAUCGAUCCUAUUUUGUUGGUUUCUAGGAUUGACGUA
rnacentral:rRNA from 1 species